ensembl:lncRNA novel transcript
UGGGCAUCCGGAUGGCGACUGCGGGAAAUCGAGUUCUCAUGCUGGGGCGAAAGGUGUGUCUGCAGGAGCCAAAUCCAAAUGAGCAGUCCAGGUACUUCAGAGUUUUAACCUGAGCGAAACAGGAAUGUCUCGGGUCUUAACAGGACCGUCCGCCCGCUCGGAAGAGGCGAAUCUCCCACGGCAGACGUCUGGGUGUGCGAAUGCCAGUUGAGCGGGGCCUCGAGGACGCGUCACACACAGCGAGGAUUUGAGGAGGGAAGCGCCUUCCAGAGCUUCAGAGAAGAGGCAGAAGUGUGCAAACAGGAGCAGGUCCAAGAUUUGCAUGGCCAGAAGCAAUUCUUGAUCCUCUUGGCUAGAUUCGAAGAUUUGGCCACCUCCAGACGCUACCACACUCUGGGACAGUGGGAGAUUUGGAACAGCUUUGAGAAGAGCAAGGUGAGCUGGGACUUCCUGGAGCAGGCUGCCCAGGAAAAGCCAUUCCAUGGCAGAACUUGCGAGGGUGAGGUCGAGGGUUAAGGGAUAAGCGGGCAGAGGGUAGAAAUCCAAUUGGGCUAUUCCUAAAGCAUCCCCAGUCGCUUGGUUUUCCACUCUUCACCGAUGCUGCACUAAUGCCACGUAGGUCCAUCCCCGCAUAUGACACCAGGGAUUUUAUUCUGACCUCACAAGAUCCCAGGAUGAUGGCUCACAAAGGGCUUCCCUGGUUAUUUACUUCUGACUCUUGAAAGCUUAAAGAAAUUGUGCCUGAGAGGUUCAGUACCUUGUCCAGGGACACCCAGUUUGUGCAGAGCCGGGAGGAAAACACAGUUCAGUUCACUGUCACAGGUGAGUCACCAAAAACAUCCUAUAAAAA